rnacentral:rRNA from 1 species
UUCCGGUUGAUCCUGCCGGAGGUCACUGCUAUUGGAGUUCGAUUAAGCCAUGCGAGUCAAUAGUUCUUCGUGAACUAGGCGGACUGCUCAGUAACACGUGGGUAAUCUACCCUCGGGUCAGGGACAACCCCGGGAAACUGGGGAUAAUACCUGAUAGGUGAAGUGGUCUGGAAUGAUACUUCGCCUAAAGCUCCGGCGCCCGAGGAUGAGCCUGCGGCCGAUUAGGUUGUUGGCGGUGUAAAGGACCACCAAGCCUGUGAUCGGUACGGGUGGUGAGAGCCAUAGCCCGGAGAUGGGGGCUGAGACACGGCCCCAGGCCCUACGGGGCGCAGCAGGCGCGAAAACUACGCAAUGCGCGAAAGCGUGACGUGGGAACUCCAAGUGCCUUGCCUUCGGGUAAGGCUUUUGUGCAGUGUAAGUAGCUGCACGAAUAAGAGCGGGGUAAGACCGGUGCCAGCCGCCGCGGUAACACCGGCCGCUCAAGUGGUGACCGCUUUUAUUGGGCCUAAAGCGUUCGUAGCCGGUCCGGUAAGUCCUUGGGUAAAUCCUUCGGCUUAACCGAAGGAAUUCCGAGGAUACUGCUGGACUUGGGGUUGAGAGAAGUCGGAGGUACCUCCGGGGUAGGGGUGAAAUCCUAUAAUCCUGGGGGGACCACCAGUGGCGAAGGCGUCCGACUAGAGUAAGCUCGACGGUGAGGGACGAAAGCCAGGGGCGCGAACGGGAUUAGAUACCCCGGUAGUCCUGGCUGUAAACGCUGCGCGCUAGGUGUUACGUCCUCUACGAGGGGACGUAGUGCCGAAGAGAAGUUGAUAAGCGUGCCGCCUGGGAAGUAUUACCGCAAGGUAGAAACUUAAAGGAAUUGGCGGGGGAGCACCACAAGGGGUGGAGUCUGCGGUUCAAUUGGAUUCAACGCCGGA